rnacentral:rRNA from 1 species
UACGUAGGGUGCAAGCGUUGUCCGGAAUCAUUGGGCGGAAAGAGCGUGUAGGCGGCUCGGUAAGUCCGCUGUGAAAGUCCAGGGCUCAACCCUGGAAUGCCGGUGGAAACUGUCGAGCUAGAGUCCGGAAGAGGCGAGUGGAAUUCCUGGUGUAGCGGUGAAAUGCGCAGAUAUCAGGAGGAACACCAAUGGCGAAGGCAGCUCGCUGGGACGGUACUGACGCUGAGACGCGAAAGCGUGGGGAGCAAACAGG